GUAAGGGCCUGAGCCAGGUAUCCAAAAGCAGAUGCAAUUCUCUGGCCCCUUCUCCUCAAAUACAAAGGAAUGCUCAUUUGCUUGAUCUACUGAUUGCAGUUUUGCUAUCACGGUACUUGUCUGCUGCUAGAGCUCAUCAUCACAGGACAAUAACCGUGGCUCUACAGGAAAGGCAGAAGAUGGUAGCAGAGGGGCAGUCUGACAGAAUGGCGUCUGACAUGGAAGUGCGUAUUCAGCAAAGUUACAUGUACCUGAGCGCCAAGACCAUGUGUUAGUGUGAUUCUUCCUAAAGGGAGAUGAGGAGCACUGUCAGAAAGACCACAGCACCUGCAGCAGAGCUCUGCACUGUGAAAUAGAUUUCUUUUCAGGGAGAAGCAGUUUAUACUUCUGUGUACAUAUCCCGGCUAACACAUAUCCAUGUGAAAUGAUGGAGGGGAAAAAAAAAAGAAGAAGAAAAAUGAAAGUCACUGUGGAAGUGGAGCACAAAGCAGUCACUUUGGUUUCUUCAUCAGCAUUUUGAAAUGCCUGAUUGAACUGAAGAGAUAUGGGACACUGUCUUUUAUCUGCACGCUAACAGACACGUCUGUGCUGUGCAGGAGAAUUAAUUGCUCUCCAGCCUGAAAUACAUAACUCCAAGGUGACUUUACCAAACUGACAGCCUGAGGCACUGUGUCUGAGAUGACUGGAAAGGAAAGAGGGGCAACCCCAGCCACCAUAGUCAGAGUCUGUCUGUCAAGCACACAGAGUAUCCCUGCAAACCUGCCUACCAUCUCAAGGGGAAGCUUUGUGCUGUGAAGUGAGCCCCAGCAACAGUGCAGUAAGCAGGCUCUGAGAGUUCUUCAAUUCUAUCUCUGGCACUGAGGAGCUAAUUCUUUGCAUUUCCUCAAACAGUCUUAGUCAUUUCAGUCAGCAAAGACCCAUUGGAGGCUUACGUUCUAUUACUGCCUCCUUCCAGAUGUCAGCAGUCGAUGCAGGAGCUUGGUGGCACAGUGUUUCUCCGGUAUGACUCUGUUUAGCUGAGUGAGAGGAAACAUCAUGUGGUGCCUUUGACACUGUCAGAUCUGUUACCUUUAAAUCUUUAGUGAAUCAGCAGACUAAUGUAGUGAACUAAAGCAAUUUAUGUAGAAUGGGAGCAAUCUAAGGUACAAAAUGGCAGUUGGGAGUUUAACUUAAUGGGAAUUAAUGGUUGUUGCUGGAGAUCUUAAUUCUUAUUAGACCAAUUUCACCCUGUUUCCACUGCUGGUGCUUUUAAGCUAGGGAGAAAAAAAAAGUUUAAUGGAAAUUCUAGAUCUUACUGAUUAGUGCAGUGCUGAGAAAUAAGAAGUCUUAAACUUUUGUGCAGUGUGGAUCACUUUGUUAGAGAAACUGCCUUGCUGGCCACCAUCAUUUCUCAUUUGUAAUAAAUAGGCAACUUUUUCAGCUGUUCAUGUUUGUAAGGUCAGCUCAAUCUAUCCUUUGGGACAUCUCCAGGAAAGAACAGUAACUGCCUAUCUGAAAAAAUAGCAUCAAGAAAGUACCAGAUACUCAUGUAUGUUUUGUAUCCCUUUUAUGAAUAUGUAAUAUUAAAACCCAGGAGAAGCUAAUUCCAUGAGAGGAAUAAUUUUUUCCUUGUCCUCUAGGAAACCAUUUUGUGAAUUUUUUGUUGAACUUUGUGUGAACUUUUUGUGAAUUUUUUUGUUGAAUUUUGUCUUUUCUUAGGAAGGUAGAUGUCCACCAGGGCAGGAUGGGCAAACUUGCUCAUGUCCAUGAUGAUCUUAAGGGCAUCUGAUCUGAAGAGUACAUUCAUGCUGUAGUCCCUUCAACUGCCUCUGUCCAUCCCUGGGCAUGUGUUUGAUGUUGUUUUUGCUGUUCAACAAAGUUUGAUUCAUCUCCUUGUUGACUUCUUUAUCUUCUUCAAAUGAUGACCUACUUUUCCAUCUUUUUUUGUUUCCUCUGUCCUAUCAUAAUUUUAUCUGACUCCUUCUCUGCUUUAUAGACCUCCGUAAAUUGAAAUAGUUUAACUCUAUUAUAAAAUUAUUUCUGAGUUAGAUGUCUAAUAUUUUCCGUAUCAAGUUAUUUUUAACUUUUCUGCAAGCCUCUGAAAAUUAAUUUGAUAUUUCCCUUGUUUAAAUCAUAGUAAAAAAUAGAUACUUGUUUGAUAAAUUUGGUAAACCUUUUAAAUUUACUAUGGUAUUGUUGCUUUGUUGAUGCUUCAUUCCACCACUAAAAACAGGAAAAUGAGUGCUGCUGCUGAUUCCAAAGAGCAUGCUUUAAAGAACAUCCACUAAUUUUUCUUACAAAUAAAUAUUUGAUAUUACAAAUACUUAAUAUUUAAUAUUCCAGUAAUUUUUUCACUUUGCUUUCUAGUACUACUUACUCAGCUUUAUUAACAAGAGUAAAUUUUCCUUCUAACCAAGCUGUUCAUCACAAUACUCAUUUUAUCAACGCUACAAACUAAACCAUACUGGAAAUCCAGCCAAAACUUAACAGCUUUUUUAUUCUCAGAGCACUGUGCCAUUUUCCUGUAAGUUUUAUUAUUCUAUCCUACCAUUCAUCUCCUACUGUGAGAGAAC
rnacentral:lncRNA from 1 species